AACGGCGUAAUUCAGAGGAAGAAUGCGAGGCUCAUAACGAGAUUAUGUAAUUAUUACAUAAGAUCAAGAUACCUCGAAGUCACAUGAUCGAAACAUGUCGCCGUUA
rnacentral:tRNA from 2 species